GAGCAUAGAACGACGUCUCUGAUUGGUCAACAAGUGAGUAAAGAUGCAUCUGAUUGUUCGAAAGCGUCAACCAAAGAGCUGCUGGUCACGGCAAGAUACAAACUCGCCGGAGCUCUGCAUGAACGGCACAUCCGGGACCUUCAGCACUCAGGAGAGAUUUAUCUUGAGGUAUGUAUUUACCUUUGAUAUCCAUGCGUCGACGCAAGCUCCGCGAGACUCAUUUGUCCAAGCUACUACCCUGCUGUCCCUCUGUCGUGUCUCAACCUCCAACAGGAAAGUAGAAGUCCUCAUAUGACACCAGGUGCCGAGGUCCUGUCUCAACCUCCUUCAGACCAAUUGAUGAGUGACACACCCACUUCAUUCUUCCAACAGACACCAAGUGCCGAGGUCCUGUCUCAACCUCCUUCAGACCAAUUGAUGAGUGACACACCCACUUCAUUCUUCCAACAGACACCAGGUGCCGAGGUCCUACCUCAACCUCCUUCAGACCAAUUGGCUCAAGGACCAAGUAUUCUGGGGGUUCCAAGCCACACGCUUUACUCAGCUGCCCUGGACAACAUGAAGGGCACCUCUGGCUCAAUCACCCUGAACAACAAAAACAUUAGCAACACUUCACCAAGAAGGGCUGGGACGGUGAGAAGCAAGUGGACAAAUGAUGAAGUGAAGGUUGCUGAGCGGCACGUUUCACUUCAUAAAAAGCUGCAAAGUACCAGGUAAAAAGGAAUGUGACUGCUGCCUCCAAGCAGAGCCGGCAGCUCUGAAAGACAGAGACUGGGUUGUCAUAAGGUACUACAGCCACAACAGGAUCAUAGCAUUAAAAGAAAGAUGCAAGAAAAAAAGAAACAAGCAAGAGAGAUACUUUGUUACUUCCACAGUUAUGUCAGUAUUGCAGUUUUCUGUAUUGCAUUGUUCUUACUCAUAAAUCUGUGGUUUAUGCUGGGUGCUUUUUGCAAUUAAAUGAUAAAAAAGGCAGAUAAUGUUCCACGUUUUUAUUCACAUGAACAUUCACUACAAAAUGAAUUAAUGCAUUACAAUAUCAAGACUUAAAAA
ensembl:lncRNA